UCUGGCCGACUUUCGCUUUCAGCGAGCUGAGCUGCUGAGCUGAGCCGAGCCCAGCCGAUCGGAUCCGAGCCCAGCCGAGCCCAGCCGAGCCGAGCUGUCUACACAGGGCGGCGGCGCCGCAUAAAAUGGCGAUCCCAGCGUCACCAAGAGCCGGUUAACAGGCACCGAAUUAACAAGCUUACGUUUUGAACGAAAUUAGGAGACACUGUUGCAGUCUAUGAUGUAUGUGGAAGAACGGGAUUCCCAGAGUUUUGCGUAUCUUCCCAGAAACAUCUAUUCACUUGAAGAAAAAGAUAAUGUAUCCACAGUGAAGAAUUCCAAUAGAAACCACACUGACCUAGUAAGGAAGAAGGAAAAUCAUUUUUCCCAGUAGAGUGACACUGGGUGUAUCAACUUCUCCAGACAGGCCUCAUGUUCAGGACCUUAAAGCCAAAAAUCCAAGUUUGGAGCUGAGGUUCUAAAAUCUUAGGGACACUCCCCUGGCUGUUAAAGAUGCCUGAAUGAAGCUGUGUCUCUCUUCCCCUGAGCAUCUUCUCCGAGUCUUCGUCAAAGGAUACAUACAACAUUGUUUGAUUAACUAAAAGAAAGAAGACAUAAUGUAAAAGACUCCUUUCUGAUUAAGUGAUCAGGACUGUGUCCAGGUACUUCUCAUUCACUCCUGGACUGUUAAAAUUUGAUGAGGUGAACUUUCUCACACAGUCCGAGAACACUUUAAUGGAGAAUUGGGGAAAUGCUGAAUAACAGAUCCCCAUCUUCAAUGCCAUUGACAGCUGAGCUCCCCAACUAACCAAACAUUUCUCUCCCUUUUUGUGUUUCUUAAAUGCCAUAUAACUAAAAAAUUUUAAAUUGUUUAUAUUUAAUAUUCUACAUGAUAUAUUUCUUAAGUGAUAAAAUAAUACCAUUUUGUUUUUAAUAAAGUUACAAAUGAAGAUAUUAUUCCUUUUAACUAAUCAGUUUUUUUAUUAUGAUCGUUUGCUUAUCCCAAACAUAUACAUUAUUCAAAACUAGUUUUCAUGUUUAAAAGAUUAAAUGUUUUCACUGCCUUAUAUAUAUGUGUGUGUGUGUGUAUAUAUGUACAUAUUUAGAUUCACUUGUUAUUCAGUAUAAUUUGAUAAAACAAAAAUAAAUCUAGGUUUUAAUUAAACUUUAAAUCCUUUUACUCUAGCUAGAGUUGGGCUAACUCUUCUUGCUCGUAUUAUACAAAAGUCAUCAAUCUCUAAUAACAACAUUCGUAAGUUUUCAUACCUUAAUAUUGAUGUUUCUUGAUUCAAUUAAUAUCUAAGAUAUACUAUGCCAUAAUUAGUCAGGACUAAAAACAAUGAAACAAUAUUUGUAUUUUACUAAUUAAAAAAAAAGGGACAUCAUUAUAGUGACUCAUUCCAGAGUCUCAUUUCUACCCAUUUAAAUGCAAGUAGGGUAGCUCAUAGAGUACAGAUACCUGAAUACAGGGGAAAACUUAGAGUUAAUUUAGUUUAAUUGCUAUGCACAUUUUUGUUGUUUAAAAUACAUGUUUCCUUCAUCACUCAAUUAGGUCAAACCAAGUUCUUGAUUAUUUUAACUUUAGGUAACAUAAUCCUAUUAUAUGUCACACAUAACUGCUGUGUCAAAUAUAGAUGAUUUACCUAUAGGAAAAGAAAAAAAAACAAAAAACAAAGGAAGACCAUGUUUGCUAAUAGUUUCCUUAUGAUCUAGGAGUUUCUUUCUUAUAACUUACAAGCUAUUCUUCUCUCCUGAAGACUUUGUCCUGCUCACUACUUAGCCUUAUCUACAUCAGAUCCUAGGAAUAAACUUCUUGCUACGAGGGACCUUAUAAUAUUUAGUAAAUAAUAUAUGACCCGCCCCCAGCCUGCACAAAAUGUGAUGCUUGGACAAAGACCGACUAAUUAGAACUGUGGUGGUGUGGCGAGGUCCAGAUGUUUUCACUCCAGAGGCUAACCACCUCAUCUUGGGCUAGCCUUAGCCUCCUGCACAGUCACUCCUUACCCACUUCUGAGUCUGAACUGACAUCUUGUGCCAAUAGACAAAAAAUAUUUUGAAAUCUGUUAACUUAGCAGACCACCAGCUUUCAUCAUCCCAAAUGUUAAGAAUGUCAUCAAACAGCAUCUGAGACCUAGAGAGAAGCUCCCCAAUCUUGUAACCACCCCUCGGAUGUACCAAACAAUCUAUGAAUCAAGACUUUCUUUGUUCUGUAAAGCUAUAAAACAUCAAGAAAGUGCUUACAUGUUGGAAUGUGGGAUUUGGGGUAACCCAAAUUUGUGUUCUUGGGCCAUGGUCACUCACAUUUGGCUGUAGAAUAAACUAUUAUUCCAUUUAAGGUAAGAGCUGUUGCAUUGUGUCAUCCCCACCCACCUCCAACAGCAACAACAACAGCAACAACCUGGCCAAUCAGUGUUUUUAAGGUAGCCAGAAGAGAAAGGAUAGUGGUGGGUGUGGUAAGGGUUGAGUCUUGACAAGCCCGAUAGUAUUCACUGAAGAGUCUGGAACCCAGUAUUUUCUUUUCUCGCAGAAAAAGCCUCAACUAUCAGCAAUGAGUAUACGUUCUAUAAGCUACAAAAUAUAUAUUCCCUCACCAUUGCCAUACUACUAUUAAAGUCCUCACAUGUAACAGGGAACAAGGAAAAUCUGAUUUUACUGUUUAACAAUUCAGCUUAUUCUGAAGUAUUCAUGACAUAUUCUAAUUCCUCUGAAUGGCACAAUAGUUCUAUGUACUUGUUAUUUAAAAACAGAUUGAUUUGUUAAUAAUAGUUCCCAAGUGUCAAUACAGGUGAUGAAUGUCUUUAGCAGAUGCCAUCCUGGUAGGAACUUUUCCUGCUUGGUGCAAAGCAGGGACAAAAGGAAAGGUGAGAGUCUUUUGCUGCACAUGAGCUGUCAUCAGCUCCAGUGCGAGUGGCCAAUACACAACUAACUUCCUGAUAAUCCUUCCAUACACAUGUGUUAUGUUUAAUAUUCAAAAGGAAUAAACAUAAAGAUGAAUGACUACAACUUAGGGUCAUCAGAUGAUAAGCUUCUAAGUAAAUAACCUAUGCAUACCUAAAAUACAUACUUAUAUUUAUAAUUUUAAGCUACAAUACUUCAAAUGGGUACAAGGGAAAAAAAACCCACAAGAAUGAGUGGCAGUGGCAGGGAGUAAGGGAAAGAAUAUUAUUUAUUGUCCAUGAAUUAUUUGGAAAUAUAAAGGGAUAGAGCAAAUGUA